CAGUCGCCGCGGGAAUACGGAGGGUGCAAGCGUUAAUCGGAAUUACUGGGCGUAAAGCGCACGCAGGCGGUUUGUUAAGUCAGAUGUGAAAUCCCCGAGCUUAACUUGGGAACUGCAUUUGAAACUGGCAAGCUAGAGUCUUGUAGAGGGGGGUAGAAUUCCAGGUGUAGCGGUGAAAUGCGUAGAGAUCUGGAGGAAUACCGGUGGCGAAGGCGGCCCCCUGGACAAAGACUGACGUUCAGGUGCGAAAGCGUGGGGAGCAAACAGGAUUAGAUACCCCUGUAGUCCCUGUCUCUUAUAC
rnacentral:rRNA from 1 species